rnacentral:rRNA from 1 species
UACGUAGGGUGCAAGCGUUGUCCGGAAUUAUUGGGCGUAAAGAGCUCGUAGGCGGUUUGUCGCGUCUGCUGUGAAAACCCGAGGCUCAACCUCGGGCCUGCAGUGGGUACGGGCAGACUAGAGUGAUGUAGGGGAGACUGGAAUUCCUGGUGUAGCGGUGAAAUGCGCAGAUAUCAGGAGGAACACCGGUGGCGAAGGCGGGUCUCUGGGCCGAUACUGACGCUGGAGGAGCGAAAGCGUGGGGAGCGAACAGG